rnacentral:rRNA from 1 species
UACGAAGGGGGCUAGCGUUGCUCGGAAUCACUGGGCGUAAAGCGCACGUAGGCGGAUCUUUAAGUCAGGGGUGAAAUCCCAAGGCUCAACCUUGGAACUGCCUUUGAUACUGAAGAUCUUGAGUUCGGGAGAGGUGAGUGGAACUGCGAGUGUAGAGGUGAAAUUCGUAGAUAUUCGCAAGAACACCAGUGGCGAAGGCGGCUCACUGGCCCGAUACUGACGCUGAGGUGCGAAAGCGUGGGGAGCAAACAGG